GAAAGCUGAAAAGGUAAGUGUGGGCCAAAUUGGAACAGGCUUUGUAUGCCUUGCCAAGGACUUAAUAGUAUAGGCUAGCGAUUCUUUGAAUCUAAGGCCCCUUUUUUAAACCAUUAAACACAUAUACAGACAGUAGUUGUUGUGUUUUAUAUUUUGUCAGUCUGCAAGAGAUUAUUGGAUCUCUUGAUCUUACUUGAUGCUGACUGUGACCACAGCAACUCUACUCUUCCUAAGUAGCCAGUAAGUUGGGAACCAUUACUCUAGGCUUACAGAGAAGAACCAGGUCUAUGGGGUCCUGUCCAUGGCAUCCUUUUGCUUACUUUGCAGUUUCUUUUAGAGUGUGUAGGGGUGAAGUAUUGAGAAUAGGAGUUGAUUAGCUGAAGUAUCUUUCUGGUCAUUUAGGAGACCUACUGGGAAAACCUUUGAACUUUGAGUUAGUAGAUGACUGUUAUCUCUUCUACCAUUCUUCUGCAACACCUGGCACCAUUGAAAAAGCUAAGCCUCUCUGCUGGGUGCCUGCAGCUGGAGCGCAAGCAACCAGGUUUCACCUCUUCUGGGAGUAGGAAGCUCUACUUUGACACCCAUGCCUUAGUGUGUUUACUGGAAGAAAAUGGGUUUACCACUCAACAAGCAGAAAUCAUUGUAUCUGCAUUGGUCAAGAUCACGGAGGCCAACAUGGAUAUCGUCUACAAAGACAUGGUCACCAAGAUGCAACAGGAGAUCACACUUCAGCAAAUAAUGUCUCAGAUUGCUAAUGUGAAAAAAGAUAUGAUCAUUUUGGAGAAGAGUGAAUUUUCAACCCUCAGAGCAGAAAAUGAGAAAGUAAAACUUGAACUACAUCAGUUAAAACAACAAAUAAUGGAUGAAGUGGUCAAAGUCCGAACAGAUACCAAAUUAGACUUCAAUCUAGAAAAGAGCAGAGUAAAAGAAUUGUAUUCGUUAAACGAGAGGAAGCUGCUGGAAAUGAGGACGGAGAUGGUGGCGUUGCACGCCCAGCAAGACCGGGCCGUCACCCAGACAGACAGAAAGAUAGACACUGAGGUCGCUGGCCUCAAAACCAUGCUCGAGUCGCACAAGCUUGAUAAUAUUAAAUAUUUAGCAGGGUCUGUCUUUACGUGCCUAACAGUAGCUCUGGGAUUUUAUCGCCUGUGGAUAUAAUAAAUGGAGAAACCACGUAGACCGCCUGAUCAGACUGGUAGAAUAAAUACCCAUUGUCACUGUUCCAGCCACACUGGCCAAGAAAAGUUACCUUUUAUCCCAGGGAUGUCAUUUCUAAACUUCGGAAAGUAAUGCCAGGUACUUCAGCUGAGAAGUCACAGAUUCGAGAAGAAAGGCCUGAUGACUCAAACCAGACCUCUUGCUGGAAUUUGUUUCUGAACACUUUAAAAAACCAAACUCCUGAGCCUCCUUGAAGAGGACCCUGACUGGAUUGUCUGGGGCUCAGCUUGUACUUUUCCCCUCAUGGCUCCACUUAGUGACAUGAUCCCUCCUGUGCUCUGGUUUCCUCCCCUCCGGCCUCUCUGCUGUCAGUUAACCGUGUGGGCAUUAGCACGCAUUUCUCUCCGCCACCCUAAUUGUGCUAUGUUCUGAGAAUUUUGGCCUCAUUUCUGAACAGAUACCAUACAGAUGGUACUGGAGAACUCAUGUCUAGAAAACUUUGAUUUACAUUUACCAAAUUUGUUGUGAUUUUUACUAAAGCAAAAACAUGUUAACCAGAAAUAAUUUAUUCUUUAUGUAUAUAAAAUAUUUGAGAAUGUU